CUGCGGGUGGCUUGGCGGUGUGCACAGUCCGGCCUGCUGGCUGGGUGGGUGGUGGGCUGCGAAUCGGGUAGGGGAUGGACCGAGUUCUGGGUCGCGGGGACGAGAGUUCAGGAAGAUCUGCCGAGUGAGGUUCUGUUCCCUGGAGCUGCACCGGGUUCCCUACGAGUCUCCUUCAGCCUCCCCGCUUCGGAGCGUGAGACUGAAGGCAUCCUGACAGAGGGCCUUCCAUCCCCCUAAGCAUCUUACCCAGAGAUCUAUAAGUUCUGAUCUUGAACGGGGUGCCACGGCUCGGGAAGCAUGACGACCGAGACCUUCGUGAAGGAUAUCAAGCCCGGGCUCAAGAAUCUGAACCUUAUCUUCAUUGUACUGGAGACAGGUCGGGUGACCAAGACAAAGGAUGGGCACGAGGUUCGGACUUGUAAAGUGGCAGACAAAACGGGCAGCAUCAACAUCUCAGUGUGGGACGAUGUGGGCAACCUAAUCCAACCCGGGGACAUUAUCCGACUCACCAAAGGGUACGCCUCAGUGUUCAAAGGUUG
rnacentral:lncRNA from 1 species